GACGAACGCUGGCGGCGUGCCUAAUACAUGCAAGUCGAACGCAGUGGGGACGGGUGAGUAACACGUGGGUAACCUCCCAUCAGAGGGGAUAACCCUUGGAUACAGGUGCUAAACCGAUAUUGAUGUAUGGACCCGCGGUGCAUUAGCUAGUGGGGGGGGUAACGGCUCACCAAGGCCACGAUGCAUAGCCGACCUGAGAGGGUGAUCGGCCAAACUGGGACUGAGACACGGCCCAGACUCCUACGGGAGGCAGCAGUAGGGAAUAUUCGGCAAUGGACGAAAGUCUGACCGAGCAACGCCGCGUGAGUGAAGAAGGUUUUCGGAUCGUAAAACUCUGUUGUUAGAGAAGCGUUAUCUAACCAGAAAGCCACGGCUAACUACGUGCCAGCAGCCGCGGUAAUUC
rnacentral:rRNA from 1 species